UUACAAUUGACUUCGAGGUGUCAAUAAACCUUUACAACAAAGAGAUUAUCUCCCAAUCUCUUCACUCAAGUGUCUCACACACUCAAACUCUUACAAAUGAAAUGAAGAAAUGAAAGUUACAAUCAAACUCACUCAAUGAGUAGAUAUUCAAAGAUGAAGAACAAUGAAUGAUUCAAUGAUUUUGUGUUUUGCAAGUUGUAAGCUCAAGAUAUCACGUGUGCUUUUUGUUUUUGCUUGUUGGAGAGAGUCAAAAUGAGUUGGAUUUGAGUUCUUAUAACUUGAGCUCGAAAACUAGCCGUUACUCACAUUCUGGGCUAUCCGAUUUGCUGUUUUAUGGAAUCCGGUAAGCCGAAUUUAUGUUACCGUUAAGGCAAAAUUCAAAUUUUGCCUAACCGGUUUGCCGGUUACUAAAAUCCGGUAUGCCGUUUUCGUUCUGGAUGCUUACUGCCCCGAAUCCAGAUUUUCGAUUUUUAGAAUCCGGUAAGCCGCUUGCUACAGUAACCUACUACAGUGAAAAUUUUCCCAUAUUUUCAAUUUGACCCCAAAAUUUUAUAAAACUGUAGUAUGACCCCAAAAGUUAUAAACGUUUUCAAAUAGGUCCAAUUUCAUAAUUUUAAAUAAUGCUUUCUCAAUCCCACAACUUUAUGAAAUUAUGACUUCGCCCAAACUUUAUGAAAUUAUAAAAUGGCCCAAAAAUAUUUAAAUAGUUUCAAAUAGGUCCAAAUUCGAAAUUUCAAGCACUACUUAUUUAUUUCAAAGUUUUCAAAAUAAGAGAAACAAACACACGAAUUUUUACGUGGUUCGGCAAUCCCCGCCUACGUCCACGCCUCCAAGCACACCGGGCUUGAGGAUUUCACUAUCCAAGCCUUUCCAAGGCUUCAACAAUUACAAUUGACUUCGAGGUGUCAAUAAACCUUUACAACAAAGAGAUUAUCUCCCAAUCUCUUCACUCAAGUGUCUCACACACUCAAACUCUUACAAAUGAAAUGAAGAAAUGAAAGUUACAAUCAAACUCACUCAAUGAGUAGAUAUUCAAAGAUGAAGAACAAUGAAUGAUUCAAUGAUUUUGUGUUUUGCAAGUUGUAAGCUCAAGAUAUCACGUGUGCUUUUUGUUUUUGCUUGUUGGAGAGAGUCAAAAUGAGUUGGAUUUGAG
rnacentral:lncRNA from 1 species